GGUAAUAUGGUUUUUCAAAGUCAUGUAUUUUCUUACUUGCAAGAAAAAAUACAUGACCUUGAAAACCAAACAGACAUGAGGAAGUAGCAUGAUAAUGCGGAUUCCGAAUGUCUGUAGCAUGUCGGGAACGAAGUGGAGACAUGCAUAUAUUACC
rnacentral:sRNA from 1 species